GGCUGGUUAGCUGAGUCCAUUGAGCAUGGUGCUGAUAACACCAAGGUCACGGGUUCAAUUCCCAUUCGGUCC
rnacentral:tRNA from 1 species